UUGGAAUGAGUUAUAAUUUGGAACGGAGAGAGUAGGUCAUAUCGAACACAUGCAUUACCUUAGAUUUUAUCAUCGAUACGUAUUGGUUGUUGAUGAAUCUGUGAUGAAGGUUUAGUUUGUAUAAACAAUUUUUCAAUAAAAUGCUUCUGAGCAAGAUUUUUCUCACUGGCAUUGUGUUCCCUUUUCUAGACCACGCAUCAUUUUUCAGUGGAGCCUCUUUGCCUGAAUUGACAAUCACAGUAAUAUGUUUCUGUGCGCGCAAUUUAACAAAGAAAAGAGCACGGUACUCCAGCUUUCCAUGUGCACAUGGUCUUAUAAUCAAAUGCAUUGUUAUUUGGUUAUACAUUUU
rnacentral:lncRNA from 1 species